CUCUUAUCAUAAGAAGUGAAAUUCAUAAGCUAUUUUAUAUAAAAAUCUUCAAAAGAUAUCCAGUCAGAAAAGCUAUUUCACAUCUCUUUUUUGGAGUCGAUGUCUGACAUCGCUUCGUUGUAGGUUUUGGGAUCAUCUCUAUAUUCUCUAUCUCCCAUAAAAAAUAAUUUUUCUCUACAUCCUCUGUUUAAGCAUACCCAAAUACUUCUCAAGAGGUUGGAAGAUCCUACUGUAUCUACGAGGU
rnacentral:lncRNA from 1 species